rnacentral:rRNA from 1 species
GAUGAACGCUAGCUACAGGCUUAACACAUGCAAGUCGAGGGGCAGCAUGACCUAGCAAUAGGUUGAUGGCGACCGGCGCACGGGUGAGUAACACGUAUCCAACCUGCCGAUUAUUCCGGGAUAGCCUUUCGAAAGAAAGAUUAAUACUGGAUAGCAUAACGAGAAGGCAUCUUCUUGUUAUUAAAGAAUUUCGAUAGUCGAUGGGGAUGCGUUCCAUUAGUUUGUUGGCGGGGUAACGGCCCACCAAGACAUCGAUGGAUAGGGGUUCUGAGAGGAAGGUCCCCCACAUUGGAACUGAGACACGGUCCAAACUCCUACGGGAGGCAGCAGUGAGGAAUAUUGGUCAAUGGACGAGAGUCUGAACCAGCCAAGUAGCGUGAAGGAUGACUGCCCUAUGGGUUGUAAACUUCUUUUAUAUGGGAAUAAAGUGGGCCACGUGUGGCUUUUUGUAUGUACCAUACGAAUAAGGAUCGGCUAACUCCGU